AACGCAUAUUGCGCCCCUUGGUAUUCCAUGGGGCAUGCCUGUUCGAGCGUCAUUUACACCCUCAAGCUGUGCUUGGUGUUGGGCGUCUGUCCAAGGUUCUCCUUUGGACUCGCCCCAAAGGCAUUGGCAGCUGUCCUAAUGGGCCUCCUAAUCGCGCAGCACUGUUAGCGCUCCCUGGAACCCAUGUAGAUUCAGCAUCCAUGAAGCCCAAUUUUUCGAACUUGACCUCGGAUCAGGUAGGGAUACCCGCUGAACUUAA
rnacentral:misc_RNA from 1 species